rnacentral:rRNA from 1 species
GACGAACGCUGGCGGCGUGCUUAACACAUGCAAGUCGAACGGAAAGGCCCUGCUUUUGUGGGGUGCUCGAGUGGCGAACGGGUGAGUAACACGUGAGUAACAUGCCCUUGACUUUGGGAUAACUUCAGGAAACUGGGGCUAAUACCGGAUAGGAGCUCCUGCAGCAUGGUGGGGGUUGGAAAGUUUCGGCGGUUGGGGCUGGACUCGCGGCUUAUCAGCUUGUUGGUGGGGUAGUGGCUUACCAAGGCUUUGACGGGUAGCCGGCCUGAGAGGGUGACCGGCCACAUUGGGACUGCGAUACGGCCCAGACUCCUACGGGAGGCAGCAGUGGGGAAUAUUGCACAAUGGGCGGAAGCCUGAUGCAGCAACGCCGCGUGCGGGAUGACGGCCUUCGGGUUGUAAACCGCUUUCGCCUGUGACGAAGCGUGAGUGACGGUAAUGGGUAAAGAAGCACCGGCUAACUACGUG